rnacentral:rRNA from 1 species
AUUAUUCGCCAAGGGAGGCAACUAUGCACCAGCGACGUCGCGUGAGGGAUGACGGCCCUACGGGUUGUAAACUUCUUUUAUACAGCAAUAAAGUGAGUCACGUGAGACUCUUUGCACGUACAGCAUGAAUAAGGAACGGCCAGCUCCGUGUCAGCAGCCGCGGUAAUACGGAGGAGCCAAGCGUUAUCCGGAUUUAUUGGGUUUAAAGGGUGCGCAGGCGGAAGAUUAAGUCGGCGGUGAAAUUUUGCCGCUCAACUGUAAAAGUGCCAUCGAUACUGGUUUUCUUGAGUGUGGAUGAAGUAGGCGGAAUUUGUGGUGUAGCGGUGAAAUGCAUAGAUAUCACGAGGAACUCCGAUUGCGCAGGCAGCUUACUAGGCCAUAACUGACGCUCAGGCACGAAGGCGUGGGGAUCAAACA